GCUGGGAGACCGCGGCUGGGAGAUUUCCCCCUCCCCCAUCCCCACAAAGCCUGCCGUUGGAAGACGUUGGCCGCUCGCCACCCCGGCUUCCUUCCGUUAGGGUCACUGGACCCCGGGGGUCCCGGGAGCUGCAGGACUCGAGGUUGACCAGGCGCACUCUGGCUGUGGCAGGCCCUCUGGGAGGCUGUGCAGACUUGGAGACCCAAAAUCUAGACUAUAGCCUUGAGCUAUAGCAGAGCCAUAUAUUCUUGUGGUGACAGUGGCCUUAGGAAAAAAAUUCUCUCUCUUGGAUGAUUAGAGACUGGAAGACUUGGCUCCUUGGUUUGGAAGCGGCACUGGCUGAGACUUGGUUCUUUGGAAAUAGACAAGGUCCCAUUCCAGGAGGAUUUUCAAGUAGAAGAUGAAUGGACAUCAACUAGGGACACUGAGAAUAAGGGCUUCAUGAUACAAUGUUUGGCUGUCUCUUGAUGGGGAAGGGCAAGUGUGCUCUUGUGGUCAAGUAGGGGAGAGGUGGGUUCUGUCAUGUGGAAGUUUCUUUGAAAUUGCGAAUUUCCACUCAUGGAACAAUGGUGCCAUUAUAAGCUCAGCACCAAGGAAUGUAAAUGUCGCAUUAAAACCUUCUUGAGGUAUCUGCCGUCUCACAAUAUAUAUGCUUCAAAGUGAUGCUACUGCAUUAUAAUAAAGUAUCCUUUUGAUGACAUAUGAUCUGACAGAGCAUUUAUGUGUACGAAACAUCUUUCAAAGACAACACAAAUUGAAU
rnacentral:lncRNA from 1 species